rnacentral:rRNA from 1 species
UGGGGAAUCUUGGACAAUGGGGGCAACCCUGAUCCAGCCAUGCCGCGUGAGUGAUGAAGGCCUUAGGGUCGUAAAGCUCUUUCGCCUGUGAAGAUAAUGACGGUAGCAGGUAAAGAAACCCCGGCUAACUCCGUGCCAGCAGCCGCGGUAAUACGGAGGGGGCUAGCGUUGUUCGGAAUUACUGGGCGUAAAGCGCGCGUAGGCGGACUGAUCAGUCAGGGGUGAAAUCCCGGGGGCUCAACCCCGGAACUGCCUCCAAAACUAUUGGUCUAGAGUUCGAGAGAGGUGAGUGGAAUUCCAAGUGUAGAGGUGAAAUUCGUAGAUAUUUUGGGAGGAACACCAGUGGCGAAGGCGGCUUCCUGGACCAAUACUGACGCUGAGGUGCGAAAGCGUGGGGAGCAAAACAGGAUUAGAUACCCUGGUAGUCCACGCCGUAAACGAUGUCAACUAGCCGUUGGGAGGGUUGCCUCUUAGUGGCGCAGCUAACGCGAUAAGUUGACCGCCUGGGAGUAC